CAUGCAGUUGGGGCCAGAAUGGUUGGGGUUAGAGUCAGGGCUGUUUGGUGCACGGCCCCACUAAAACCUCCUUGCCCCAGGAUUCUGUCUGGAGAACUCCUACUCAUCCUGCAAAACUCCAGGCUGACCGCAUGAGGCUGCACAGCUGCUACUCCGGAGUCCUGAGUGACCAGGAAGGAAGGGUGUUCAACUCCUCCGAGACCUCCGGGCCCUGGGGAAGCCUGAACCACGUGGAGGGGCCACACAGAGCGGUGCUGGGAGAUGGUCCUGGCCCAGGGACCAGAUAUGGCAGAGCAGAGCAGAGAUGUCCCCACUGUGGCCUUUCAGGAUAACUGGCCCACAGCCUUCAUGAGGAGAAUAACCAUGAGCUUCAU
ensembl:lncRNA